UGAAUGUCUUCAUCACUGUUUUCCCUUAUUCUGCGCAAAGUAGAAACUGUCUACAGAACCACCUCUUUUUAUUCCUCUCUACACCCCGGUUCAUUGAACGAAAGUUCCAUAACCAGGACAUAUGAUUAUUUGCCCGUAAAAUCAACCAGGAAGGUUCGAAUUUCCAUAGGAGCAAGUUCUACCACCAACUUUGCUGAGUUCACAGGCCCUCCUCUCAAGGCCUUUCCUCCUUUAGGAUUCCCUUCUAUUUUCCACACCAACCUCUUCUUCUCCAUUUCUGCUCUUUCUUGGAAACAACUUCCUUUACGGUUGCUGUUGAGCCCACAAGAGAUUGGGCCUGAUUGAAUAAUCUUCAACUUAUUGACGCCCAAACGAAAACUAUCUGAUUUGCAUGGCCCUUAUUUGAAAAAUGUUAGGUGACAAGUGUGGUGCAGGGAUUUCCACCUUGCUGGCUAUUUUCAAACCAAAGGAUAAUUCCAGCUUUUGUUCUGAAACUUCAAUUUUGAUCAGACGAAAUUUCUCUUUUUCUUUCUAGGGUUCUAGUGACGUCUUUUAAGAUGUAUUAAUCAUACAAAGAUUAUAGUGACGUCUUGAAGACCUAUGUCCACUCUACAAAGCUUGAAGAGAAAGUUUCAGCUUAAUCUUGAGCUAUUCAAGGUAAAUUUUAGCUCAUCUUCUUUACCGUUGCCAUGACUGAAAGAUCCUUGUCCUCUCCAGUCUUGCAUUUAAAUCACCAAAGAGAAAGUGUAUAGUUAGUUUCACAAGUGACUGGUGUAGGACGCAUUAAAUCUUGCUGGAAAUGCAGAUACAAAAGUUUCAUUUACCUCAUACAAGUGAGCCAGACGUAAGAGAGCUUUUCCAUUCUCCAACUCCUGAAAAUCAAGAAAGCCAAUAUGCAAAAUUAGUAGUCACAUGCUUUUCAGAUGUUUACUACCCCACUUGAGGUAUCCAUGGUACACCACAACUAAACAAUUUUUUUUUUAAAAGGUAAACACUAGGGUUGAGAGAAGUAGAACAAGACUAUUUCAUUUACUAAAUAUAUUGUUGGAGUGCCUUGAAUCUAAGUUGAAUUCGUAUUUGGCAUAUUUAAUUAUUUAUGAUUUAUUUACUAUUAUGACCCUAGAGUUUAGAGAAGUACACUAUAUAAACUUUUUAAUUCUGGAGAUGCCACUAUUUUGUAUUUUGUAAUAUUCUCUAAUAAAAAUGUUCUUCCUUUA